UGCCCCUCACUUAUAGAACUUGGAGCCAUGUACCGAAGGAAAAUAAAGAGAGAAUUUGGAGAGAAGUAAAGAUCAAUACAGAUGCCGACGAGUCAAUGAAGAAAUUUGUUUUGGCAUCUGUUGGAAAAAAAUGGAGAGAGUGGAAGGCUAGAGUUAAACAAUUGGGGUAUACGCCAUUCGACAACGAUGCUGAUAGGUUAACUCAUCGGCCCGAAAGAGUACAUGAGCAUCAAUGGCGAAGCUUAGUCUAUUAUUGGGGCACUCGGAAGGCACAGAAAAAAAGUAUAAAAAACAAAGAAAUUCGGAAGAAGAAGACAUUAAAUCACAUAACUGGCAGAAAACCAUUCUCAGUUGUUCGAGUAGAGGUAUAUAGUUUCUUUAUAUU